rnacentral:lncRNA from 1 species
ACGGAUGGAAACUAAGUUAGGGUUAGUUAUUUGUAAAAAAAUAACUGCUUUAAAAAUCAGUUCUGUAUUAGAACUCAAAUAACACUUUUAGAAAACAAUGCUGUGUUAGAAACUGUAGGAUGGUAGUCAUGCAUAGAAAAUAACUGCUGGUAGUUAUUUACUAGGAAUUUAGGAGCAUACAUCUGGUAAUAUGUUUUGUCAUUUGGCAAUGUGAAGUCACUUUUAGUUUGUGGAUAGAGAAUACUUUCUGUAGGAGUUUUCUUUCUAUGUGACAUCAAGUGUAUUGCUGAUUCUGUAUGUGAUUGGAGACUUUUGUCUCUGAUACAGCAACUGUAUUGCUGUAUUUGUAUGUUAUAGAGACUUGUCUCUGGGACAGCACGUGUAUUGGUGUUUAUGUCUGAUUCAGUGUUAUAUAUUAUAUUUGUUACUUUACGGAAUGGUGUUAUAUUAUAUACAGAGAAAUCCUAGGUAAGAGUUUGCAAUGCUUCAGGUUUUUUUCAUCUGUCAAUUUAUAACGUGUAAUCAUUAAGUUUUUAUUAGAUGUAUUUCCUUUUUUUUUUCUCUCCCGUUCCUUAUGGAUAUGUAUGACCUGACUAGGAUUUUAUUGUCCUUAUUUUGGCUUAUAAUGUGAAAUGUAAGGAGAAUACUUAAAAGUGCCUAUAUAAGAUGCAAAGGUGCCAUAUUGGAUUGAAAGACAUUUGAAAUUUCUCUGAUAUCUGUAACUUUGGACACUGUAUUUAUUGUCUGUAGAUCCUUAAAAUGUUUUACCUCUGCCAUUUAGUUUUAUAAAGAGCUUUGGAUCAUAAUUAUUCAUGAUAUAAUCUCUUACACGAGAAAAACUGCCUAUUUGUUCUUUUUAAUUCUGCACCAUUUAUUUCUUUACGUACAGUUCAGUUGUACAUUAAAAUUAAGCUGUUGUAAGAUUCCUUGCCAAAGUGUCGUAGUUACUAAAAAAGGGAGGUACAUUGAGAGGAUAACUCAUUAUGUUGCAUAAGGAGCUUUCCUGUAACGGUGUAUUUGGGAUCUGAUCAAAUGGGUGCUUCAUAUACGCGAAUCCUCAUCCUUUUUUCGUAAAGUGCACAUGUCAGGAUUUGUUGCAUUGUGCCACUCAUAAGUUAAAAUCAAAUGCUUUAUAUAGUUUAAGUUUGAUCAUUUUUUUUUUGGCAUUAUGCUUGUCAAUUUUAAAGAGCAUUUCAGUGCCCUUUUAAUUGGGAAAUGUUUUAGAUGACUUUUGGGCGGGCUUAUAGUUUUCCUAUUUACGUUAUACUUUUUUUUUUUUUUUUUUUUUUUUUUCUUUUUUUUUUUUUUUUGUUA